UACGAAGGGGGCUAGCGUUGCUCGGAAUCACUGGGCGUAAAGCGUGCGUAGGUGGCGUGUUAAGUGUGAUGUUAAAUCGCGGGGCUCAACCCUGUCGGUGCAUCGCAUACUGGCAUGCUAGAGGGAAGCAGAGGCAAGUGGAAUUUGUAGUGUAGCAGUGAAAUGCGUAGAUAUUACAAGGAACACCAAUGGCGAAGGCAGCUUGCUGGGCUUCUUCUGACACUGAGGUACGAAAGCGUGGGGAGCGAACAGG
rnacentral:rRNA from 1 species